rnacentral:rRNA from 1 species
AAUAGGCUAAUUAAGAGCGUAAGGGGAAUGCCUUGGCUCUCAGAGGCGAAGAAGGACGUGAUAAACUGCGAAAAGUUGCGGGGAGUGGCACAUACAUUUUGAUCCGCAAAUGUCCGAAUGGGGAAACCCGGUUAUUUGAAGAAUAAUCAUCCAUUUAUGGAAGCUAACCCGGAGAACUGAAACAUCUAAGCACCCGGAGGAAAAGAAAACAAUAGUGAUUCCGCUAGUAGUGGCGAGCGAACGCGGAAUAGCCCAAACCUAAAUUGUUUCGGCAAUUUAGGGGUUGUAGGACCACGAUAUUUGUUGCUCAAUGAAUUAGAAUCCGUUGGAAAUCGGAACCAUAGA